GGGUGAUUAGCUCAGCUGGGAGAGCACCUCCCUUACAAGGAGGGGGUCGGCGGUUCGAUCCCGUCAUCACCGGCCA
rnacentral:tRNA from 1 species